UGCGAGUGAAGCGGCAAAAGCUCAAAUUUGAAAUCGGUGUGUCUAAAGUACAUCGAGUUGUAAUUUGGAGGGACAACUUCGGGCUGAACCACACCGUAAGUUUCUUGGAACAGGACAUCAUAGAGGGUGAGAAUCCCGUGUCUUGGUGUAGGGUCAAACCAUGUGAAGUGUCUCCGACGAGUCGAGUUGUUUGGGAAUGCAGCUCAAAAUGGGUGGUAAAUUUCAUCUAAAGCUAAAUAUUGGCGAGAGACCGAUAGCGCACAAGUAGAGUGAUCGAAAGAUGAAAAGCACUUUGAAAAGAGAGUUAAAAAGUACGUGAAAUUGUUGAAAGGGAAGCGCUUACGACCAGACUCGAUCUUUGGUGAUCAGCCGGACUUCGGUUCGGUGCCCUCGCCAUUGAUUGGGCCAGCAUCGGUUCCGACGGUGGGAUAAAAGGAGGAGGAAUGUAGCUCCCCUCGGGGAGUGUUAUAGCCCCCUUCACAAUGUCACCAUUUGGGACCGAGGACCGC
rnacentral:rRNA from 1 species